rnacentral:rRNA from 1 species
CCUACGGGAGACAGCAGUGAGGAAUAUUGGUCAAUGGCCGGAAGGCUGAACCAGCCAUGCCGCGUGAAGGUCAGUGCCCUAUGGGCGUUAAACUUCUUUUGUGCGGGAGCAAUAAUGGUCACGUGUGGCCAGACGAGAGUACCGUACGAAUAAGCAUCGGCUAACUCCGUGCCAGCAGCCGCGGUAAUACGGGGGAUGCAAGCGUUAUCCGGAGUUAUUGGGGUUAAAGGGUGCGUAGGCUGGGAGGUAAGUCAGCGGUGAAAUGCCCCCGCUCCACGGGGUGAAGUGCCAUUGAUACUGCCUUGCUGGAAUGCGGAUGCGGUAGGAGGAAUGUGUUGUGUAGCGGUGAAAUGCAUAGAUAUCACACAGAACACCGAUUGCGAAGGCAUCUCACGAAUCCGCGAUUGACGCUGAUGCACGAAAGCGUGGGUAUCAAACAGGAUUAGAUACCCCUGUAGUC